CUACGGACUUAAAUUUUUUGAGCCUUGGUAUAGAGAGGGUU
rnacentral:tRNA from 1 species